rnacentral:lncRNA from 1 species
CUCCCUUGAUUUUUUCGUCCAUUUUCUUUCCUUUUUUUUCCGGCUAAUUUGUUUCCAAUUUUCACAAAAUCUUCCGUUUUGUUUCCUUAUUUUUCGAAGACUUUGUUUCCUUAUUUUUAUGUUUUUAUUUCAGAAAAUUUUAUAAAUUAUAUAAUUCGAAUAUAUUUUUUUUUCGGUUUUGUUUUUGAUUUAUUUGUUUUUAAAUUUUAUUAUUGAUUUGUUACCAAUAAUUUAGUGUUUCUUGUUAUAAUAAUUCUAGAUUUGUUUCCAGCUAUUUUUU